rnacentral:lncRNA from 1 species
UAGGCAUCAGUGGCAGCGUAGGAUUUUUGAGCAUCGCUGAGAGGUUGAAUGUGCCACUUACUGCGUCGUACUUUAGGAUCUUUGGAAAUUUCUUUUUGAAGCUAAUAUUGAGAUACAUCGAUUUAAUGAUGCCAACUGGGUUUUGUAAGAGUUCGAUUACUGCCGUUUGAUUAUGAAGACAAGAGUAUCCGCAAGUGUAUUACCCAUUUAAUUUCCUAGUAAUCUUAACAUAAAAUUAACUCACCACAUAAACUGUGAGAUUUGCCAUACUCCAUCGACACGAUCGAUUUAGUGUUGCAUUUGCAAAUGUACCACAAUCAAUGCAAUUAUUUUCAACAACCUUUUGAGAUGGGAAUUCUUUGAAAUCUCUACCAAGUUUCCAUACGUCACUAAAAAAAAAACGUUAUUUGGCUACGUUUUCUAUUGCACCAAAUACAGUUAAUGAAAACAGAUUUCAUAAAACAAUAAUGUCUUAAAUACUCUGUUGCCAAGAUAUGACAUGUAUUGCUCAUCUGACUAUUUAAGAAUGAACUUUUCAACAAGAAGGAAGCAAUUAAAAAGUGGAAAGACUGAGAGAACAAAUCUGCUACUCUUAUAAAUACGAAACGGCACAUUCAGAGGACGAGCCAGAUGGCGCAUAUAGCCACGUGUAUCAUUAGUGAUCGGAUUAGAAAAUGUACCUCUACAUGAUUAAUAAUCAAAUAAUUUAAUGUAAGAUGCUCCUCUUUUUCUCUAUUUUAGUUUUCCAGAAGUUUUGAUACAACUACAUCACCUGAGAAACUAAAGGGACAUGUUUGUCCCUUCAAGACUCAUCAAAUAUUGCGAAACAUGUAUGGUUUCUGUUAAUAUGCAUCAAAUACGAGAUUAAAUAUAGAGAUUUUUGAAUUUCAUUAAAUUUAGCAAAUCUGCAACAUCGUUGUAAUUAGUAAUUUUUGAAU